UUUUUUUUUUCUGUUAAUUCUGUUCGUCUUCUUCAACUGUCCUAGUUUCUUGCAGCAACUUUCUGUUAUCGAAUCGCAUUUUAGCAUUACCCUCUUACGUUGAUUUCUAUUCAUUUUUAGGGUUUUCAAUGUCCGACUUAAUAAUUCAAUCAAAUUAGAUUUUCAGUAUUGUUAUAUUGCAAUAGUGAUUAUGAAUCUGAAACUUUUAGCUUUUUAAUUUAAAUUAAACAGUUUUAGUUUUGCUUAUGUGAUUUAUUCUGCAGUAAAGAUUAGACACUUUUUACUAAGGGUCUGUUUUGAUUGGCUGAUUUGAGUUUAUCUACUGAAGUUAGCACUUGUGAAAAUGUUUAAGAGAGCUUUUUGAGCUUAUCUACUGGAAUAAGCACUUAUGAGACUAUUUAAGAGAGCUUAUGUAUGCAUUACAUCAAAUCAAAUCAAUAUUUUUUUUUAAAUAAAGAUUUUUUUAAAAUAAAU
rnacentral:lncRNA from 1 species